CAGCAGCAGCCGCGGGAAUACGGAGGAUCCAAGCGUUAUCCGGAAUCAUUGGGUUUAAAGGGUCCGUAGGCGGUCUUGUAAGUCAGUGGUGAAAGCCCAUCGCUCAACGGUGGAACGGCCAUUGAUACUGCAGGACUUGAAUUAUUGGGAAGUAACUAGAAUAUGUAGUGUAGCGGUGAAAUGCUUAGAGAUUACAUGGAAUACCAAUUGCGAAGGCAGGUUACUACCAAUUGAUUGACGCUGAUGGACGAAAGCGUGGGUAGCGAACAGGAUUAGAUACCCCCGUAGUCCCUGUCUCUUAUAC
rnacentral:rRNA from 1 species